AGUGAACGCUGGCGGUAGGCCUAACACAUGCAAGUCGAACGGCAGCACAAGAGAGCUUGCUCUCUGGGUGGCGAGUGGCGGACGGGUGAGGAAUACAUCGGAAUCUACUCUGUCGUGGGGGAUAACGUAGGGAAACUUACGCUAAUACCGCAUACGACCUACGGGUGAAAGCAGGGGACCUUCGGGCCUUGCGCGAUUGAAUGAGCCGAUGUCGGAUUAGCUAGUUGGCGGGGUAAAGGCCCACCAAGGCGACGAUCCGUAGCUGGUCUGAGAGGAGGCUCAGCCACACUGGAACUGAGACGCGGUCCAGACUCCUACGGGAGGCAGCAGUGGGGAAUAUUGGACAAUGGGCGCAAGCCUGAUCCAGCCAUACCGCGUGGGUGAAGAAGGCCUUCGGGUUGUAAAGCCCUUUUGUUGGGAAAGAAAUCCAGCUGGCUAAUACCCGGUUGGGAUGACGGUACCCAAAGAAUAAGCACCGGCUAACUUCGUGCCAGCCGCCGCCGUAA
rnacentral:rRNA from 1 species